UAGGGAAUCUUCGGCAAUGGGGGCAACCCUGACCGAGCAACGCCGCGUGAGUGAAGAAGGUUUUCGGAUCGUAAAGCUCUGUUGUAAGAGAAGAACGUGUGUGAGAGUGGAAAGUUCACACAGUGACGGUAACUUACCAGAAAGGGACGGCUAACUACGUGCCAGCAGCCGCGGUAAUACGUAGGUCCCGAGCGUUGUCCGGAUUCAUUGGGCGUAAAGCGAGCGCAGGCGGUUUAAUAAGUCUGAAGUUAAAGGCAGUGGCUUAACCAUUGUUCGCUUUGGAAACUGUUAAACUUGAGUGCAGAAGGGGAGAGUGGAAUUCCAUGUGUAGCGGUGAAAUGCGUAGAUAUAUGGAAGAACAACGGUGGCGAAAGCGGCUCUCUGGUCUGUAACUGACGCUGAGGCUCGAAAGCGUGGAGAGCAAACAGG
rnacentral:rRNA from 1 species